AUCCCACCGCUACCACCAUAUCAUAACCUACUCCGUGAAUCUAAACAGAGGGAUUCCACCCUCCCCGUUUCCAGCCUUGGAAAACAGAAGUACCGAGAGCUAAUCUCUCUUCCCCCCUCACCCAGAGGGAAUGCAAAGUCAGGCUAGUAAAUCUAACACACACAGAUUUCCCCCUGACUUCUUCCUCCCACCAGUUCCCUGGUGAGCACAGACUCAAUUCCCUGGAGUUCCCCACUAAUGAAAAACUCCAACAGGUCUUAAAAAGAAAGCUUUAUGUAAAAAGAAAGAAAAAUACAUAAAAAAUGGUCUCUCUGUAUUAAAGUGACAAAUACAGGGUCAAUUGCUUAAAAGAAAUAUGAAUAAACAGCCUUAUUCAAAAAGAAUACAAUUCAAAGCACUCCAGCAACUAUACCAUGUAAAUACAAAAGAAAAAAACAA